rnacentral:lncRNA from 1 species
AAAUUUUAUUUUGGCCAGGAGCUGAAGUUGGUUGUUUAGUAGUAGUAGUUUGAGUAGUGACCGAAGUAGUAGUCUGGUGUGUGGGUGCAAGAGUAGUUGGGGAAGAAUUAGGUGUGGUAAUUGGGGCAGCUGUGGUCUCUUGUGGAGCUGGGGAAGACGGUGGAGCUGGUGUAGUUGCAGAAGGUGUGGGUGGGGCAGCUGUGGUCUCUGGUGGAGCUGAGGAAGAUGGUGGAGCUGGUGUAGUUGCAGAAGGUGUGGGUGGGGCAGCUGUGGUGUCUUGUGGAGCUGGGGAAUUCACUGGUGCUAAUGUAGCUACAGAAGAGCUUGUGUUAACAUUUUCUCUUGAAGAUAUGGUGGUGGCAUUCUGGGGAAGAAAAGUCACAUUUGGAAGGGUAGUAAUUUUGGUGGAAGCUUAGGCCUACAGCGUUUGUGCAGACAUUUAUAGGACUUUCUAAUGAACGGCUUCUGGUGAGCUAGCA